ACUCCUACGGGAGGCAGCAGUGGGGAAUAUUGCACAAUGGGCGCAAGCCUGAUGCAGCCAUGCCGCGUGUGUGAAGAAGGCCUUCGGGUUGUAAAGCACUUUCAGUCGUGAGGAAGGUAGUGUAGUUAAUAGCUGCAUUAUUUGUACGUUAGCGACAGAAGAAGCACCGGCUAACUCCGUGCCAGCAGCCGCGGUAAUACGGAGGGUGCGAGCGUUAAUCGGAAUUACUGGGCGUAAAGCGCAUGCAGGUGGUUUGUUAAGUCAGAUGUGAAAGCCCGGGGCUCAACCUCGGAAUAGCAUUUGAAACUGGCAGACUAGAGUACUGUAGAGGGGGUAGAAUUUCAGGUGUAGCGGUGAAAUGCGUAGAGAUCUGAAGGAAUACCGGUGGCGAAGGCGGCCCCUGGACAGAUACUGACACUCAGAUGCGAAAGCGUGGGAGCAAACAGGAUUAGAUACCCCUGGUAGACUGU
rnacentral:rRNA from 1 species